AGAGCGCAGCGGCGAGCGUGACUCCGCCAUCAGGUCCCCGGCUCCCUCCCCGGACCUAGCCCACUCCGCUGCGCCAGCGCCGCGGGCAGUGAGUUCGGGGAUCAGGGGAACCCGGGGCUCCCUCGCACCAACCCCAAAUCCUGCCCUCCUGGCGAUGAGGCUUUUCUAGGGCACCUCUACAAUCCGGCCCCCGGCCGCCCCCCAGCGAAGACCUCUUCUACGAGACCUACUACAGCCUGAGCCAGCAGUACCCGCUGCUGCUGCUGCUGCUGGGGAUCGUGCUCUGUGCGCUCGCGGCGCUGCUCGCAGUGGCCUGGGCCAGCGGCAGGGAGCUGACCUCAGACCCGAGCUUCCUGACCACUGUGCUGUGCGCGCUGGGCGGCUUCUCGCUGCUGCUGGGCCUCGCUUCCCGGGAGCAGCGACUGCAGCGCUGGACGCGUCCCCUGUCCGGCUUGGUAUGGGUCGCGCUGCUAGCGCUAGGCCACGCCUUCCUGUUCACCGGGGGCGUGGUGAGCGCCUGGGACCAGGUGUCCUAUUUUCUCUUCGUCAUCU
rnacentral:misc_RNA from 1 species